rnacentral:rRNA from 1 species
AACGAACGCUGGCGGCAUGCCUAACACAUGCAAGUCGAACGAAGCCUUCGGGCUUAGUGGCGCACGGGUGCGUAACGCGUGGGAAUCUGCCCUUGGGUUCGGAAUAACAGUUAGAAAUGACUGCUAAUACCGGAUGAUGUCUUCGGACCAAAGAUUUAUCGCCCAAGGAUGAGCCCGCGUAGGAUUAGGUAGUUGGUGGGGUAAUGGCCCACCAAGCCGACGAUCCUUAGCUGGUCUGAGAGGAUGAUCAGCCACACUGGGACUGAGACACGGCCCAGACUCCUACGGGAGGCAGCAGUGGGGAAUAUGGGACAAUGGGCGAAAGCCUGAUCCAGCAAUGCCGCGUGAGUGAUGAAGGCCUUAGGGUUGUAAAGCUCUUUUACCAGGGAUGAUAAUGACAGUACCUGGAGAAUAAGCUCCGGGCUAAACUCCGUGCCAGCAGCCGCGGUAAU